rnacentral:rRNA from 1 species
UACGGGGGGAGCAAGCGUUGUUCGGAUUUACUGGGCGUAAAGGGCGCGUAGGCGGCCACCGCAAGUCGACUGUGAAAUCUCCGGGCUUAACCCGGAAAGGUCAGCCGAUACUGCGGGGCUAGAGUGCAGAAGGGGCAACUGGAAUUCUCGGUGUAGCGGUGAAAUGCGUAGAUAUCGAGAGGAACACCUGCGGCGAAGGCGGGUUGCUGGGCUGACACUGACGCUGAAGCGCGAAAGCUAGGGGAGCGAACGGG